UGUUCGAUUUCAUAUCAUCGAAUCUAGCAUUGUUCAUAUCAAUAAACCAAAAACAGAUCUCAUUGCUCCAGAAGGAAAAAUAGGGUUCAUUUAAGAUGAAUUAGAUGGAGAACUGCUAAUAAAAAAAAACGUUCUGUCUACUGCCAUUCUCUACUAUCAUUCCCGACAAUUAGAGAAAACAAAAGCUUCCAAGAACAAGUCCUCACAAAAUUGGAAUUGGAGUUCAUUGCUCAAAUAAAGAAGUGUCAAAGUUCACCUAGGAAUCAAGCAACUUGUCCAAGUUUGAAGGAUUUUGCUUGGUAAUCUAAUAAGGUGUAAAUUUUGUGAUGGCAACCCCAAGCAAGUUAAAUGGAUAUGGCAGUAAAGGUGCAAAGAUUUGGAAAUAGAAGAUGGUUAUUGUUAGGAAAUAUUCAUCACCUUAUCACGUGGAUGCAUGAAUUUUUAUACAGGAAUGUGUAAACUUUGUAACUAAGCUUUGUGCGUUGUCUAAUAUCAUAAUAGUGGUUAGAAUGUUAGUAUGAUGGAAUUUACAUAAUA